CAGACUUUUGAGUUUUGAGUUGUUAUUGUAUCACAACACCUGUAGUAAGUAGUUACAGUUACAGUGUAUCGAACGACCGAGUGGUCUUUCUUCUUCUUGUGCGGAAUCAAACCUCAUAAGCUAGUCAUUUAGCGUUUCUUUUUUCAGUUCACGGAUGCUAAUUUUGGCAAUGCACGAAUCUUGCAAUUUUGCUUUCGGUUCGUUCAUUCAGCUUCUCGUUAGUAGGCACUUGUAAC
rnacentral:lncRNA from 1 species